rnacentral:rRNA from 1 species
CCUACGGGGGGCUGCAGUGGGGAAUAUUGGACAAUGGGCGAAAGCCUGAUCCAGCCAUGCCGCGUGUGUGAAGAAGGCCUUCGGGUUGUAAAGCACUUUCAGUGGGGAAGAAAGCCUUGGGGCUAAUACCCUCGAGGAAGGACAUCACCCACAGAAGAAGCACCGGCUAACUCCGUGCCAGCAGCCGCGGUAAUACAGAGGGUGCGAGCGUUAAUCGGAAUUACUGGGCGUAAAGCGCGCGUAGGCGGUCUGAUAAGCCGGUUGUGAAAGCCCCGGGCUCAACCUGGGAACGGCAUCCGGAACUGUCAGGCUAGAGUGCAGGAGAGGAAGGUAGAAUUCCCGGUGUAGCGGUGAAAUGCGUAGAGAUCGGGAGGAAUACCAGUGGCGAAGGCGGCCUUCUGGACUGACACUGACGCUGAGGUGCGAAAGCGUGGGUAGCAAACAGGAUUAGAUACCCCAUGUC